GAAGAGAACCCAAACACACAUUUUUGAAUGAGUAAGCUUUAAAGCUGUGCUGCGUCUGCUCGCAAACUCAUCGCAGCUUUGAAAGUGAAAAAACAACAUUUGGUUCCGAGUGCAAAUUCGCCUGCAUUUGCACCCUACCUCUUCCAUGUGCUCCGCAAUCUACUCACUUUUAAUAAUAAGCGGGGAAGUUGGAACAUAAUCCACCCAUAAAUGUUAUUACUGUAAUUUGACUGCUCUGUGUUUGUUCAUGCAUUAGCUGUAUAUGUGAGGCGAAGUGGUGAUGUAUGGUGGGGAUCCCUCGUGCGGCGUGAACAAACAGGAGGUGUUUUGGGUUUCAACGCCCAGACGCUGUGCAGUUGUUUUGAGUUUUGGGGUGUCUGGCUUCAGACCUGCCCUAACUGAACGGUGCCUGCAAGAGGUGCAUCAGGAGGGGUAUAUGAUGAGAAUUCUACGCAGGAGGUGUUUGGUGGAUGGCGAUUCUGUCUCCACACUCUGUCCGUGAGCUUUAUUAUUCUGCUUUUAUGUAUUAAGAUCUUGGUUGCUCUUGCCCUGGCAGAUUCUGUCUCUUUAAGUAACUAAAUCUCAUUUUUAAGCUCUUCCUGGGAAAAGGGUGUUACACAUGAGUAGAAAAAUGCAGGCAAGAAAGGCUAAUUGAAUGAAAAGGGAGAAUUAGGUUAAAAAUAGAGUACAAUCUAGUAUCACAUUUUCACUAGUGUAACCUGAAAUGAAGGUGUCUCCAAGUCCCCAGUGAUGCCAGAGUGUUUAGAUGUUGGGCACAGAUGGAGACACCUAUUGAAAUGUGUCUGAAGAAGAUUAAUAGGACUUGUCAGUGUUGGGAAAGCACUGCUUUGCUGUAAAUUUCUACUAGCACAAGAUGAAUUACCGAUGAAUGCUCAGUUAUCAACCCCAUCACUAUCAUUGGACACUAAAUCAAAUUGAGCAGUUAUCUACAAUCAGAAAAUUUCUUUUAAAAAUAGGCAUACACCUUUAGGCUUAAACUCUUUAAUAAGACAAUAUCCUCGAUGGUAUGUGUGUGUUCACGAAGGGAUAUGAUUUAAAGUAUCUGUACAAAAAGCUUCUGUUCGGAAACGAACUCCAAGUUCAGUGUGAAAUCAGGGUUGUCAAACAAUAGAAGAUAUUCAGAAAAUACUGGUUAUAUAACACAGUGUUCUGCUGGGGGCCUGAUCCAAAAUGGAUUUUCAUGCAUGCCAUUAGAUUUUGGAUCCAUCCCUAUUUAUGAGAGGUUUUCUAAAUCUCUUCUCUCCCCUUAUUUAUGGUGAUGAUAAAACCCCACUUCUUUCUACCUUAAAGACUGAGCAUCCAAAUCAUAUGUUAAUGCAAAAUAGCUAUCAAGACUCAGGAUAUAUGUAUAACAAUAACACCACCCCCCAACAUAUUUAGGAAAUUACAGCUUAAUAUAAUGAACUAGGUGAUGAAAGAAUCAAUGAAUAAUAUUUUAACCGAGAAUAUUUCUUUCUCUCCUUUAUAAAGGGGGAAACUGCCGCAAGGAAAGGUAACACAAGCAUUUACCAGCCCACUGCUGAAGCAUAUUACCUGCAUUUACCAUCUGAUGCUGCUGAUGGCGAUGAUAUUAAAUAAGCAUUAUAUACUUCUGGUUUCUAGUAUUUGUUUCCCUCUCACCCAGGCAGUGCACUACUUUAUCCAAGGGGUUUUAUCAUGGCGUGUUUUCCAAAGUCAAUUUUUCCCUUUUAUUAGAGACAAGGGCAGUCAUUUGUGUUUAAGGAGGGAGACAGGUACAGAGACUUUAUCUGAUCUGCGUCCCCAGCCACCACUACCUUCUUAAUCGACGUCAAAUUCCCACUCUGCAGGAUCAGGCCCUAUCUGGGUUACUCCUUAGCCAAGAAAGGUAUCCUUCCCUUCCACUCCAGACAUCUCACCUGUGAUGUAUGCUACUUUUUGAGGAAGGAAUGAUGUGCUGUUCACCACAAAGCCUUUUACGCGUUUCUCAUCUCCAGCCAAAGCUUAUUAUUUACCCCCUUAAAAAUUCACCAGGAUAAGGGAUAGCAGCAGUUGUUUUCUUCAUUUUUACACCCUAAUUUUCACGCAGCAAAUGCCCUGCAUUAGGACCAGAUUCCACUCAGAUGGAAGUUAUUAACUUUAAGCAGGAUGGGCCGAUUCCAUCCAGCCACAGCCCGUGCCCUUCGAACGCAGUCGCUUUACAGCAUCACCAUGUUUAUUUUUUUUCUUUGGAGGGCAUGAUUCUUUAAACAUAUUUGUUUUACACAGAGCAGCAGUUGAAUCCUAACUUCUUUUUUUCCCCACAAACAUGUAAAGAGAAUAUUAAUAGGGAAUAUUAACAGAGGUGAGUGCAGCAUGAUGCUAGUUAGAUUGUAGUAGCUGAGAAAUAUGAACUAGUGAACAUAAUCCAUAAACUCCAUUUGGUUACUAUAAUACUCCAAUCUGUAUUUAUUACAACCCCACUCUGAUGCUUAUACAACUGCAAUUGCUAGAUUUAUACACUCUAAUGGUUUCACAAUAGGAAAAACCUGUGUUCUUUAUCUUUCUUUUCCUGUCCAAAAUAACCCCUUCCACAUAUACUUCAGGCUUCUCUGGACCUUGUCUGGGUUUAAUCACAGGCUCUGGGACAAAAUGUGCAUUAUUAAGAAAUAUAAAUAUUUUCAGAAGCAAUCAAAGGGUUGAAAGAUUGAUUCGGCAUGUAGAUUGGAUUUAAUUCGAAGCAGCUUUGUUCUAAUGAGGACUACUGGGAUACAAAGACGGCAGCCGCUUAUGGCCACCAGUUGGGAACCUCGACUUGCUGCAGCAACCUGUCAAGAAUUCCAAGGAACUGCCAGGUAAUUAAACAGUGAAGUUGUGGGGAGGACGCUGGUCUAUUGUUUGCAGCCUCCUCCCGAGGCUGGAUUAGGAUUUCUUGAGCCCCUGUUUUACCAAAAUGAGAUUCUUGCUGCUUGCGGGGCCAAACCCCGCAGUCCCUCACUCAGGGAAAACCCCAAUGGGCAUUGUGGGUGGGUUUACCUAAGGGAAAGGUGGUAAAGCUUUGCUGAGCCUCAAGUCCAGCAAAUUUGGGAGCCCUGUAGCUAUUUGUUCCGAUUCCAGACCUGGUUGUUUUUGCGGUGACUUGUUCUAUUAAAUUUUGCUAUCUGUGCUUCUAGAUGUGAUGGGACUUUUUUGCACAGGGAGGUGUUUUUCCCUAUGGAGAAAUACAGCUCUGGGAUGGCUUGGAAGCUCUUGUGUCCUUGUUGGGUGACCCAGAAGAACUGGCGGACCCGGACUGUCUCCUGCCUGCAGUGUCCAACAAAACAUCCUUGAGAUGAUGCUGAACCAAAGGGGACCUUUGAUUGCUUUCCCCUCAGACCGAAAAGACACCCAAAGGAAUUUGGAAGAUGCCCAUGUCUAAGACAAUGGUGAGGACUGGGCCAAAAUACAGAUCCAGCCUUGAUUCCUCCAUUGGAUCCAGCCUGUCUUGACCUACAGCUGCUGAUGGAUCGCAGUGAUCUGGACCCUUCUCUCUCCUUACUCCCCAGCAUCAGGACACCAAGAGGACCUGAGAGUACUGGAUGAACCAUUACAAGACCGUGAUUGGAAAGUGUGGGGACCAAGCACACAGAGAGGUGGCUGAAGCAGCUGGUUCCCUGUCUGUUGUUGAGUCAUGGCACAAGAUACCAGAGGCCAGAGAAACAUCAUGUGGACUGUGUCUGUCUUGGCUACUCCUCAUCAGUGCUUUGAGCUGCAGGAAGUCAUGAGAACCAAGGCAACAUGAAUGUAUCACCAGGGAUUUGCUUCUCUCCUGGUCUCCUCCUGAAGCACAGCACAAAGUUUCAACCUUUGCUUCUGCAGACCUACAUGGAUGGGCUGAUAAACUGCCGUUUAGUCCAGAGGCUGGACAGAAAUAAAUCACCAGUUAAAAUACAGUAUUCCUAGUGAAAACCAUUAUGGAAUGCAUUCUUGCCCCAAACUCCUCCUGGAAUAGGCACAGCAAUGCUCCCUGAGACCUGGCAGCCCUUCUAAGUGAGCAUAUGGUCUGCUCAGCUCCUGCAGUACCGGUGCACGGCUUGGCAUUUGCCUGUACGCACGCAGGCACAUUGCUCGGGGAUGACAGGAAAACAUGAUUACAGCUUGCAAAUAAUACAAAUAGGAGAAAAGGGAAAGCGAGAGGAGCUGCCAUGCAGCAGCAGCGUGGUUCCUGAUGCCAAAGGUCUGACCUUAAAAUGAGCAGUGCAUAGGGCAAGAAUGGGUACUGCAGAGAGCUUCUGGCCUUCAACCCUUCCAAAUGCAGCUAUUUUGGUAACCAGAACAGUGUAUUCAUGAUGGGUGAGGGAACAGAGCCUUCCAGUGAAGGGUUUCUCAGCACAUUAACUCUAUCACUGCUGGAUGCAUGUGUGUCCCAAUUCAGGUUGCCUGUGUCUGUUGAAGACCAUAAAUGCAGAUUUGCAGAAGUCUGCAGCAUUCUGUAACUUUGUGGCUGUGCUUCAGUGCCUGCUGCACCUAAAAACUGAACCAAAUCCCAUGGAUUUCCGUGUAGAUCUGGGAAAAACUGCAAUCAUGUGCUGCUCAGAGUAGAUCAGACUUGUAUUUCUUGUUGGCAGGAGAGGCACAGCCUGAUUUUGCUACAAUGCAACUGUCCUCAUUAAUGUUCUUCAAGCCCUGAUGGCCUGGGACUGCCAUCGUUGGGUCAGAAGAUGGCUGAGUUUUCCAGGCUCAUUCUCUUGUCUUCAGAAUGUUAAAUUGGGUGAUAAUGAGUAGUAACUGUGUCCCUUUUUAUGGUGAAGUUGACACUUGCCUUCUAGUAAACAGACACAGAGAUGACCCUCCUCAUUUCGCACAGGUCACCAAACAGCCCUGGGAUGGUAAGGGUUAUUGGCCAUUUACCAAACUCUGUUUGACUUGGGUUCAUGGGUGAGAGAUGAAAGGCUCUAUAUUGCAUUACCAAUCCCUGGGGCCAGCCGGUCUCCCUAAAGAGGCAUUUCAUUUAGCGAAGCAACUGCUGGCCCAUGGGAAUUGGAGAGCUGGGAAAAGGACACAGUUUCAAUUGCUGAUGUUUCCUUAGGGCAGAUGUCUUAAAGCCACACAGGAACUCGCUGCUUCCCUGUCACAAUAGUUGCUCCAGGACACUUAAUGACCAUCAGGCUUUUCCCAUUAAUUAAUCUCCUCUUUUUUUUUUUUUUUUUUUUUUUUCUCCCAACAAAACAUCCAUUAAGUUACUUGGGUUGUUUCUGCCCUGCUCUGUUUUCCUCCAUCUUCCUGGGGCAAGACCAAUGCACCAGUUAUGAACUGGUACCUUUUCCAAGAGCUUAAAAUUUGAGACGGGUGAAACAAGGAGCCCUAGUAUCACAGUAAGAGCUGUUGGCUGCUUGGAAAGAGAGGAGUUCUCCUGAACUACCCAAAUAUUUUCAUUAUUGUAGAGCAGAGAUGCUGACUGAUUUUCCUGGCUACAGUGGAGUGGUCCUUGGUAUUGGGGUAGUCCAAGUGCUGAGCUUUUACAGAUGAUGGAUGAAGUGCUUGAUGCUACAAUGGCUACAGGAAGGAGAAUACCUGUGAUCAAUGAUUCAGCCCAGACCUAUCCUGAAUUUCUUACGAUCUGAAAAUCCAGUAUUGUUCCAAAUUCUUUAUCACUGGUCAAAAUCCUCCUUCAGUUUCCUCCCUUGCUGUUUGUGAUGUGAAUCAUGAGACAUUCAGAAGUUGCAUUUGUUGUUUGAUAGUUUUACAUCAUGGUUGUAAUAGAGCAUCUGCCAAGUCAGCAGGUUUUUUUCUGUUUGUUUAUUUAUUUACUACUCUAUUUCCAGCAAGUUCUUGUUACCCAGUUCUCGCUGACAAUGAGGGAAGAGGCACAAGUCAGCUCAGAAAAUGAACGACUAGAAGACUUGAGUGGUCUCAGUGAUACUGCACCAUCCUGGUUCCUGCUUUCAGGCUGGGGUCACAAGUUGGACCUGGAAGAAGCAACUUUCAUGCAGAGAUGUAACUGCAAAGUGAAUACCAUGCCAGGCCCACAGGUGCUCCUCAGCUCUGCCUUGGGAGGACACCAUGAAGCAAUGAGGUGACAAACCGGUUUCCUUUCUCAAGCCAAAUGUCACGUAACUGCCCAGGGGCCCGUUUUGGUGGGGGUUGCACCCCCUGACUUUUCAAGGAGAGAUGUACUGCUGUGACCCAUCCCUGCCCUGUACACCUGGCUGAAGGAGAUAAAACUGCUCACUUCCACCUCUGACAUUUCUCAGCCAGGAAGAAAGGCAGGAGGCAUCAGGCUGUAGGGAGGUAUCAGAGCAGCCACCUGACACAGUGACAAAGAAGCCUCCAAAACCCAUCAAGUGGAGAUGAGUUCCCAGGGCUAGAGCAAGCUGAUAUAAAGGAUAAUGGUACCCUUACACCCACCCAAAAAGAUUUGCUACUCCCAAGCGGGGCAGCAGACAAAUACGUCCAACCCCAAAUGCUCUGCAGUUGAUAGAUCUGCUUUAGUGAGGAGAGCCCCAGUCGGUGAUGAAUAUUGUAGGAGAAUGCAUGCUGCAGCAUCAGUAAAGUCCAAAAAGCCCAAGGAACAGUGCAGGACAUCUGUUAACAAGAAAAUAGUAUGUGAAAAGCUGCUGUAAUUUCUGGCCCCAGCAGCCUAACUGGAGGCACAGACUUCCCAAGGCAGAGAGGACUUGGAGAACUCGGGAUGUUCAGUGAGAUCUCUCCUGGCUCCUGCAGAUUUACCAGGUCAGCUCAGUGCAGGCCAAAGUUGCUGGGAAAGGUCCUGGGCUCUCCUCCAAGUUCAUUGCUCUAUUGAUUGUGAAGAGGUAUUUAUUGUAGAUCAGGAUCUUGAGCCAAGGCAGCUGAAGCCGCACGGACUAAAUCGUCUAUUCCCCACCUACAGAUAAAACAAAUGGCCAGUUUUGGCCUAAUCAUCACUUCUGCCAGAGGAAAGAGAAACUCUUUGAGGUAAGUUCCCUUGGACAUAAUUCUUUCUUUCCAGGUUAAAGAAGGGCUGGAGCUAAUAUAUAUCCUGAGUCGUAAUGUGGAUUUGCACCUUUCCCGUUAAAUAUAGCUGGUUUGUGUCCAAAGCAUCGCUCCUAUCCCUAAUGCUCACUUACAUUGUUACAACUUCUACAUUAGUUGCAGGUGUGAAAUGCCAACUGAUCCACACUUCUUGUGCUGUCAGCAGGGGAGUAAUGUAUGUCAAAGGCCUGAUCCUCAGAGGGGAGGUCGCCUGGAUCUCCAUUUGCACAUCUGCUUUGCUAAACACAAAACUCUGGAGGUUUGAAAAGCUCCAGUAUUCACAAAAUGGGAUGUGUUCACUGGGGGCCAUACCUAAGAAACUGUUUGUGCUUGUCAUUUAGUAGGCAGGUCACAGAAUUUUCCCUCUGUACAAAAUACUUGCUGUUUUACAACAGGCAAUGUUUCACUAGUCCUCAUAUGUGGACAUUUGUAUGUUCUAUAUUAGUAAGAAAAAAGUUACACCUUGCCACGUUACAGGAUAUAAGAGAAGUCAGGACACCAACAGGUUAAAAUAGAACCACAUACAUUAAACAGCUUCAGGAAGAUGCUAAUAUUCAGCAUGUCCCUGCUUGGAGUGUGCAGGCAUGAAGAUCAGGAAACUGCCUGAUCAGAGAUCCUGGAGGGACAAUGUUGCUGGAGUUUGUCUUACAAGGCAUCCUGGUUUGGUUCUGAGGGUUUCAAGAGAAGCUUACAAAUAUUUCUAUUUCUUCCUGCUGUUAGGGGAUUUUUUUAUACCUUGGAAUAAGUCUUCCAAAGGUAAUGUGUUUACACUGGAUACCUAGAUAAUGGUUCUUACUUAGGGGACCUCUGAUACACAGUAGUACCUUCUACAUUUUAUGUAAGAUCAAAGACUAAUCCUGUAUAUAGACCUAAUUCUUUCUUGAUUUAUGCUAAUCUAGAAUGUCCUUCAAUAUCUGCAAUAAGGAUUCCCACAAAUAACCUAGACAGAAGAUCUUUUUGUCUUCACGUAUUUGGCCUUUAAAUGUCAUCUGUUUAUGACAUCAUGAUUCUGGGCACUUUGGACAUAUAGGAGAUUUUAAACAUAUGCAUGCAAGCAUCAUUCACCAUUAUGCACUAUGUUUUUCCUCCCUCAGCUGACUAUUUCUAAAUCUUUUGGAUAGUAGAACUAAAAUUGAUCUUACUGUCCAAAAUGAGAAAAUAGGAAAUUGGUCAUCAGCUUUAUGUUUUGUUACACAGAAUUUAGACUUAACAUCCCCAUAGUGACUUAUCUGGAAUUGAAAAUGAGCUCAAAGUAUACUGGGGAAAGCCAUGAGCUGAACACAGAGGUCAGAGCAUGUUCCAUGAACACCUGAAAUUCCAGCCUUGAGGAAUUCCUCGAAUAUGUCACUCAGAAUGGACAUCUCCUCAAGGAAGCUGUUAAAAAUAAUUUUCACAAGAAUCAGAAGAGGUUCACUUUUAAUACCAAGGAAGGGAAGCACUGGCUUUUUAAAGAAAAGUUUGAUUCUGGAAAAGUCUCAUUAUGUUGGUAAGUUAAAGGAGCUGUGUUGUAGCAGACAGAGUGGCUUGUUUGGCUCUUCAUGGAAGUGGCUGUUGAAUUCCCAGGCGGCCUUUCCUGCUGAAAUUCACACCAGAAAUUCAGGACAAAAAUUUCAUGUUUGAUCAGAACGACUUCAUUACCUUCCUGACUAACAGGAAUUGCAUAAAUUUCCCUGGGCUGUAGAUUACAAACAGAACAGACCCAUGAAAAGAAAGGGAGAAAGAAAUGCUGAUUUUCUUGGGAUGAAAUACUGAAAAAUUGGGCCUGAAAAACGUUUGGGUAUAAUAUGUUGGAAGUUUAAAGAAGCAUUUUUAAAGAAACAUUUUCCAAGAGCAUGCCAGUUAGUUUUAUCUUCAUUUUUUGCCACAUAUAAUUAUGAGAAACACAGACAACUCAUAAGAUUUUUAGUUUCUGUUGAGAAUCGUCUUUUCCAAGACAAUUCUGUACACUAUUACUUUAGCCCACUGGGUAUCAUGUAGGCAAGGUAUAAGAUUAUGCACAUGAAUAUUUCUGUCUACCACUUAUGCGUGCUGAGACAAUAUCAACUUAUACUUUCUCCUGUCAUUGGUCCUUAUUCCAUAGAGGAUAUUCUUAAUUACCAGCAAGACAAUUUGGUAAUAUCAUGUAAAGUGUAACAGCAUAAUUUCUGUGAUGAUUUACACCUGCUCAGGAUCUGAACAUGGAAUUUUAAAACAUAUUUUAAGUUCAGACGAUCAAGGAUAUUUUUGUCCAUAAGACACUAUUUCUAUGUUUAAUAGAAUGACUCUCAUUUAUUUAAUUUAUCGGCAUGUUUCUUCUAAGUGAAACGGAGCUUUUGUACAUGAAGACACCAUUUUUACACAUUUGCACUGCCCUGAAAAAUUUAGAGCACACUUCUGUACUGGAUUAAAUCAACUCUAGUCUAAAUGCCUAAACACUAUUUUUGACAACUGUGCAUGAGGGACAUAGCUGUACAGGGAUUCUAAAGAACAAAACCCCUAAAAAUAUCUCGGUUGCAAAGAAGAUGUAUUCCUUUUUCCACUUUGUAAUUAUGGUUAUAUAUAUUCUUUUAACCCUUGCGGGUUUAUUCCUGAGUCUGUUAGAAAUGACUGAAAUUAUUCCAUGAACUCCAACAGACUCUGCUUCCAACUGGAUAAAAAGAGAUAUUUGUGCAUCAGAUUUGCUGGUGAUGUCCCACUAAUGAAAUGGGGAAUUUUAUAAACAGGUCAGGGAGGGUAAGUGCCCAAUAAAAAGAUGUCAGAUGGAGAUCCACAAAUUACAGUCUAUUUGUAACAGAAAUAAAACAAGGAAUGCUUACUAAAGAGUCAUGAAUUUCUUUAUAAUUGCUUCCACAUUUGGGGCAACUUCUUCCUAAAUCAUCUACAGAAACCCUGCAAUUCAUGGGACUUCUGAUAGUGGUUAUGAUCACAACAAUACAUCUCAUUUAUGAUAAAAAUUACUCACUUUGGAAAGGAUUGUUUUUUCCUCAGGUUGCUUUUCUCAGUCUUUAUUUCAGUCUCCAUCUAUUUUCUUAUCCUCCUCCUCAUUUUCUAUUUCUAAUAUAAAAGCUGGAGUUCUUAUCAAUUUAGAAAAGAAAUAAAACUAAAGAAAAUUCAGGCAGAACUGUGAAGCAUGGUCUAUUUUAAAGUUACAGCUCAGAUAAUAAGACUCUGGUUUGUGCUGUACCUCGCUCAUGAACUCAGUUUUCCAUAGUGCAUUCAGCGUUAUAAUAAUGCAAAUCAAAUACAAUUUUAAUAACUCCUUCCAUUAAAAUGAUCUAUUAAUGUUUUAAGACUGCAACACUUAUGAGCAUGAUUCUAAUUGCAUGAUUUUGCUGCAGGCAAGUUUCAUAGAUCUGCCUGAUCUUUGGAUAUUUGCACUGUUUGGAUUAUUUUAAAUAAUUAAUUUUUGGAAGCGUUUCAGUCUCAGUAACGAGAGUUGGGUUUGAUAGUGGUUGUCUUGUCAGUAAUUGUAUGUAUCUGCUUCCAUUCAAAGGAAAACUAGACAAAUUUAGAACUCUUUGAAAGGAGAUGACUGAGGUUUAUACUGUGACAAACGUUAUGAAGAGCAUUCUGAAGAGGGGAAUAUUUAUAGACUAAGUUAAUACAAGGAGCAAAAGAGGUUUAAAGUGCAUAAAAUUUUUUGUCGUGCAGCACAAUUAAAUUGUAGGAUUUUCUGCCACAGAAUACCAAAAAUAUAAUCAGGCUAGAAUACCAUUAAACAUUCUUGGUUUAUGCAA